rnacentral:rRNA from 1 species
AACGAACGCUGGCGGCAGGCCUAACACAUGCAAGUCGAACGCCCCGCAAGGGGAGUGGCAGACGGGUGAGUAACGCGUGGGAACCUUCCCAGUGGUACGGAAUAACUGACCGAAAGGUUGGCUAAUACCGUAUACGCCCGAAAGGGGAAAGAUUUAUCGCCAUUGGAUGGGCCCGCGUCGGAUUAGGUAGUUGGUGAGGUAAUGGCUCACUAAGGCGACGAUCCGUAGCUGGUCUGAGAGGAUGAUCAGCCACACUGGGACUGAGACACGGCCCAGACUCCUACGGGAGGCAGCAGUGGGGAAUAUUGGACAAUGGGCGCAAGCCUGAUCCAGCCAUGCCGCGUGAGUGAUGAAGGUCUUCGGAUUGUAAAACUCUUUCGCCGUGGAAGAUAAUGACGGUACCCGGAGAAGAAGCUCCGGCUAACUUCGUGCCAGCAGCCGCCGUAA